rnacentral:rRNA from 1 species
UUCCGGUUGAUCCUGCCGGACCCAACUGCUAUUUGGGUGAGGGUAAGCCAUGCGAGUUGAAUGGGAUACCUAAAUUUCCCAUGGCAAACUGCUCAGUAACACAUGAUCAACUUACCCUAUAGAGAAAAAUACUCUCGGGAAACUGAGGAUAAUGUUUCAUAGUUGAAAAGGCUUGGAAAAGUUUUUCAAUGAGAGGGAUAGGAAAAAUGGUUUUUAUCUGCUAUAGGAUAGGAUCGUGGUCGAUUAUGGUUGUUGGUGAGGUAACGGCUCACCAAGCCGAUAAUCGAUAGGGGCCGUGAGAGCGGGAGCCCCGAGAUGGGUACUGAGACAACGACCCAGGCCUUACGAGGCGCAGCAGGCGCGAAACCUCCGCAAUACACGAAAGUGUGACGGGGUUACCCAAAGUGUUCUUUAUAGAACUGUGGUAGGUGAGUAAUAUCCCCUACUAGAAAGGAGAGGGCAAGGCUGGUGCCAGCCGCCGCGGUAAAACCAGCUCUUCAAGUGGUCGGGAUAAUUAUUGGGCUUAAAGUGUCCGUAGCCGGUUUAGUAAGUUCCUGGUAAAAUCGGGUAGCUUAACUAUCCGCAUGCUAGGAAUACUGCUAUACUAGAGGGCGGGAGAGGUCUGAGUACUGCAGGGGUAGGGGUGAAAUCUUAUAAUCCUUGUAGGACCACCAGUGGCGAAGGCGUCAGACUGGAACGCGCCUGACGGUGAGGGACGAAAGCCAGGGGAGCGAACCGGAUUAGAUACCCGGGUAGUCCUGGCCGUAAACGAUGCAUACUAGGUGAUGGUACGGCCAUGAGCCGUGUCAGUGCCGUAGGGAAACCGUUAAGUGUGCCGCCUGGGAAGUACGGUCGCAAGGCUAAAACUUAAAGGAAUUGGCGGGGGAGCACCACAAGGGGUGAAGCCUGCGGUUCAAUUGGACCCAACGCCGGGAAACUUACCAGGGGAGACAGCAGAAUGACGGUCAGGUUGACGACCUUGCCUAACGAGCUGAGAGGAGGUGCAUGGCCGUCGCCAGUUCGUGCUGUGAGGUAUCCUGUUAAGUCAGGCAACGAACGAGAUCCGCGCCUUUAUUUGCCAGCAAGAAGUCACGACUUCGUUGGGAACACUAAAGGGACCGCCGUCGAUAAGACGGAGGAAGGAGCGGGCAAAGGCAGGUCAGUAUGCCCCGAAACCCCUGGGCUACACGCGGGCUGCAAUGGUAUGAACAAUGGGCUGUAACUCC